rnacentral:rRNA from 1 species
AUUGAACGCUGGCGGCAUGCCUUACACAUGCAAGUCGAACGGCAGCACGGGAGCAAUCCUGGUGGCGAGUGGCGAACGGGUGAGUAAUAUAUCGGAACGUGCCCGGUCGUGGGGAUAACGUAGCGAAAGCUACGCUAAUACCGCAUACGAUCUACGGAUGAAAGCGGGGGAUCGCAAGACCUCGCGCGAUUGGAGCGGCCGAUAUCAGAUUAGGUAGUUGGUGAGGUAAGGGCUCACCAAGCCGACGAUCUGUAGCUGGUCUGAGAGGACGACCAGCCACACUGGGACUGAGACACGGCCCAGACUCCUACGGGAGGCAGCAGUGGGGAAUUUUGGACAAUGGGCGCAAGCCUGAUCCAGCAAUGCCGCGUGCAGGAUGAA